GUGCUGUCAACCCUUUUAGCACGUGUCAAAAACUCAAAGAAAAAAACGAUGACUUUGAAGUCUACAAGUCAUAUUUCUGUGAACAAGUGAACUGGCAACAUGUCGAGACCGAAGUAACUAGGUUUUUCCUAUAGAAAUUAUAGCAAGUCACAGUAAAAUCUUGAACCCAGAACAACAACAACAACAGCAGCAGCUGGAUCAAUUGGUUCCUCGGAAUCAAGGGCAACGAGUUCCUCUGCCCCGUGCCCACCAACUACUUUCAGGACACGUUCAACCAGAUGGGCCUGGAGUACUUCAGCCAGCACUGGACGUGAUCCUGAAGCCGGUUUUCGACAGUUCCUCGGGCUUGUUCUACGACGAUGCGAAAAAAUGGUACGGCAUGAUUCAGCCCGAUAAAUCAGGUUGGAGCGUGGCGUCAAUGAUAUGCACCGAAAGUAUAUGAGAGGAGACUUUGAAUCGUGUCCAAAUAUCUCCUGUAAUAGGAAGAACACCCUGCCAGUGGGCCUCAGCGAUGUGUGGGGGCAAGUCAACGGUGAAGAUCUACUGCCCACGCUGUAAAAACUACUUCAAUCCUAAAACUGAUACACAGCCAUGUUCGGGCCCAGCUGUCCGGACAUCUUCUUAACGCAGCUGCCGAACUUGAGACCGCCCCUGGACGACCCACGGUAAGUAAUUCUCCGAAUAUAGUCCUGGUUGUUUUCUAACCAAAGCGCUUAACUUGGAGUCCCUAUGCUUUCGGUUGCACCAGAAGGCCUUGAUGCCACUUAAAUCGCCCAAAAUAUACUCGCCAAAGAAUAUCGGAUCCCUGGCCAGCUAGUCCUCCUCCUCGCUCCGGCAUUCCGAAGUCAAGCG
ensembl:ncRNA Su(Ste):CR42428 Su(Ste):CR42428